AGAAUCAACGCUGGCGGCGUGCCUCAGACAUGCAAGUCGAACGCGAAAGUCCCCUUCGGGGGACAAGUAGAGUGGCGCACGGGUGAGUAACACGUAGGUAAUCUACCUUCGGAUGGGGAAUAACAACCGGAAACGGUUGCUGAUACCGCAUAAUGCAGCGGCACCUAAUGGUGACAGUUGUUAAAGCGGGGGAUCGAAAGACCUCGCGUCUGAAGAGGAGCCUGCGGCGGAUUAGCUGGUUGGUAGGUAACGGCCUACCAAGGCGACGAUCCGUA
rnacentral:rRNA from 1 species